CACGUAGGUGGCAAGCGUUAUCCGGAAUUACUGGGCGUAAAGCGCACGCAGGCGGUCUUUUAAGUUUGACGUGAAAGCUCCCGGCUUAACUGGGAGAGGUCGUUGAAGACUGGAGACUUGAGGCAAUGAGAGGGGUGUAGAAUUCCCGGUGUAGUGGUGGAAUGCGUAGAUAUCGGGGGGAAUACCAGUGGCGAAAGCGGCACCCUAGCGUUAGCCUGACGCUCAUGUGCGAAAGCGUGGGGAGCGAACGGG
rnacentral:rRNA from 1 species